rnacentral:rRNA from 1 species
AGUAAAUAGAUACCCGGGUAGUCCACGCCGUAAACGAUGUCGACUUGGAGGUUGUGCCCUUGAGGCGUGGCUUCCGGAGCUAAACGCGUUAAAGUCGACCGCCUGGGGAGUACGGCCGCAAGGUUAAAACUCAAAUGAAUUGACGGGGGCCCGCACAAGCGGUGGAGCAUGUGGUUUAAUUCGACGCAACGCGAAGAACCUUACCUACUCUUGACAUCCAGAGAACUUAGCAGAGAUGCUUUGGUGCCUUCGGGAACUCUGAGACAGGUGCUGCAUGGCUGUCGUCAGCUCGUGUUGUGAAAUGUUGGGUUAAGUCCCGCAACGAGCGCAACCCUUAUCCUUUGUUGCCAGCGGUUAGGCCGGGAACUCAAAGGAGACUGCCAGUGAUAAACUGGAGGAAGGUGGGGAUGACGUCAAGCCAUCAUGGCCCUUACGAGUAGGGCUACACACGUGCUACAAUGGCGCAUACAAAGAGAAGCGACCUCGCGAGAGCAAGCGGACCUCAUAAAGUGCGUCGUAGUCCGGAUUGGAGU